AGCGGCGGACGGGUGAGUAAUGCUUAGGAAUCUACCUAGUAGUGGGGGAUAACGUGUGGAAACGCACGCUAAUACCGCAUACGUCCUACGGGAGAAAGCAGGGGAUCUUCGGACCUUGCGCUAUUAGAUGAGCCCAAGUCGGAUUAGCUAGUUGGUGGGGUAAUGGCUCACCAAGGCUACGAUCCGUAGCUGGUCUGAGAGGAUGAUCAGCCACACUGGGACUGAGACACGGCCCAGACUCCUACGGGAGGCAGCAGUGGGGAAUAUUGCACAAUGGGCGAAAGCCUGAUGCAGCCAUGCCGCGUGUGUGAAGAAGGCUCUAGGGUUGUAAAGCACUUUCAGUAGGGAGGAACAGCUUAAGACUAAUACUCUUGAGCCUUGACGUUACCUACAGAAGAAGCACCGGCAAACUCCGUGCCAGCAGCCGCGGUAAUACGGAGGGUGCGAGCGUUAAUCGGAAUUACUGGGCGUAAAGCGCGCGUAGGUGGUUUGAUAAGCUAGCUGUGAAAGCCCCGGGCUCAACCUGGGAACUGCAGUUAGAACUGUCUGGCUAGAGUACAGUAGAGGGUGGCGGAAUUUCCUGUGUAGCGGUGAAAUGCGUAGAUAUAGGAAGGAACAUCAAUGGCGAAGGCAACUUUCUGGACCAAUACUGACGCUGAGGUACGAAAGCGUGGGUAGCAAACAGGAUUAGAUACCCUGGUAGUCCACGCCGA
rnacentral:rRNA from 1 species